AUGAAGCCAUUCCUGUCAGUGAUGCAUGCAAAGGCCCACUCCUGGAAAUGUGAGAUUAAAUGGGGUGGUCGAAACCAAGAAGGAGCAGGCACCACCCUGGGCGAAGAGGUCGAACAAGUAAACAGCUUCUUGUCAAGAACUGCUAUAUGCAGUAAAUACAUGACCAAAGGAGCUAGAACAGACAUGAUUACUAUUCAGGCCAUGGCAUGGAAUAAACGCAAAAUUGAGAACCUUGCAAAAUUGUUGUCCCGAAGAUUACAAAAG